UACGUAGGGUGCAAGCGUUAGUCGGAAUUACUGGGCGUAAAGCGUGCGCAGGCGGUUGUGCAAGACAGAUGUGAAAUCCCCGGGCUCAACCUGGGAACUGCAUUUGUGACUGCACGGCUAGAGUGUGUCAGAGGGGGGUAGAAUUCCACGUGUAGCAGUGAAAUGCGUAGAUAUGUGGAGGAAUACCGAUGGCGAAGGCAGCCCCCUGGGAUAACACUGACGCUCAUGCACGAAAGCGUGGGGAGCAAACAGG
rnacentral:rRNA from 1 species